CGCUAACUCGAAAUGCGCUAUUUCCCCCCGGCUGCAGAGGCGUUAAAGUCAAAAUUGUCUAUUGACCACCGGGCACCGGCUGACAGGGACAAGGUGUAAUCCCACGAAGCUUUCAGGAUGUCUAGGCGUGCUGGAUAAGAUACAACUGGUCUUACCUUCUUGAUUGACGUUGGCAGAAGUCGAGUCAAAUAAAAACGACAUUUAGUUCCAUCCCGGACAAACCAAGGUGUAUUUCUACAUUUCAUAGAAGAGAUGCCAUCACUUUUGAUAAAGCAAGGGAAACCAUAAACAGUAACUCUACCACAGGGUCACCUGGCUGCCGGGGGGAAAUCGAUUAUUACCAAGUUUAAAACUGAAAUAGCAAAAAAUUAUUUUAUCCUUUUCUAUUAGUGGAACUGUGUUGCUGAUGAAACAUCCCUGACAAUUACUAAACUUUGUAGUUUGGACUGAUAAGAAUUUGAAGCAAAUCCAGAGUUAAUAAGAAGAGCCCAUGGAAUGGGGUCAGCCCACAACACACACAAUUUAACUGAUAAUUAUUGUUUGAAGGAGACAAUGCACCAGGGACAGCGGAGGUGUAGCUCUUCAAAGCAGUAUUUAUAUAGAUAAUUCAAAUUGUAAUUUUUUUGUUUUUUUGUUUGAGCCUGCAUUCAUAAAAAAACUGAAGGAUUUCCUUUUUAGAUUGGGCAGCAGCACAUGUCCGUUAUCAUGUUGAUACCAAGUAUUUGUUUAUCUUUAUUCAAUUCUUUUUUAAAAAUUUAGGUCCUGCCUGCAUUGAUUCUGAUGUGGAUGAAUAGCUUAUGUUUUUCAAUGGCUAUAAAUGGAUAGAGUAAAGCUAAAGAAAUUUGAUAAGCUUUACAUUUGCUUUAAAAUUUGGUUUCAUGGUUUUUUUUAAAUACUUAUGUUUUGACUUAAGAGCAGUUCGCUAGCUUCUUGCCGACCUUCUCUUUCAAGUAACGCCUGUCGACGAUUUCACAACUACACGCAUAUAAAGAACGUACUGGCAAAAAGUAAGAUAUCUAAGGCAAUGCACCAGUUCCUUUCCACAGCCCUAUAGUGUGAAAAAAUACAGAGGUAAAAAUCUGAUCAUAUUGAUCUGCACAAUGCUGGCUUCAUGUAAGCAAUCUUGAAAUGACCUAUCAUCUAUCAACAGACUAAGGAGUAUUAAAAGAUUCUUUCCUUAAGAAAAUGGGCAGCUGUGGACUUCCUUUGGAUGACUCCUGUAAAGAGUAAAUAUUUCCUGCUUCUUGGAACAAGGAACAUAGCAGAUAUCUUGAUGCCAACUAAGUGUCAUUUGAAAGAUUGUAAAAAGAUGUUUAAGGAAAAACCUGAAGUUGGAGCAAGAUACAUUUGUCUCUCGUUACUAGUUUUGUAAAACAAAUGAGGUUAAUUCCACAAUCUUCAGCUUCACAGGCAGACCAGACACCCAUCCACAAAGCCGUGGGUGAUAGAUGACGUAAAAUUUUUAUUAAUUUAAAAAAAUUAUAUUUUAGGUUAUUGAUUGGAGAGUUAGAGAACAAUGUGAGAAAACUGAUAUUCUAGCCCUCGAAAUCCCAGCUGCCUUUCUACUUCAACAAUGAACAGGUCCCAACUCAGAUUACGCAGCUGAUGCCCCACAAUACAACCCAGAAAUCUUUACUUGCGGUCUUCCAGUGCCGGGAAUUUGUUAUGCUCUUAUUCAUGCAAUUACUCAAUAAAAAAUUAGGGAAGCGGAUUAUUUGGCAAAUAAAAUAUGACGGGAUUCGGGUUGUCAUAAGAAGCUAGCCCAGAUGCCAAUCUUCUUGAUCCCUCUCACUUCGAUUGCGAUUCCAGUCAACGCAUUCCAUCAUGCCAGUGAUCAGUCGUUUUUCGACCAUUCUUUUCACAGGAUUUUAUGACUGGACUUCCUGGAAUUCCUGAUUUUUACCUAAUUGCUGCAUUUGCCGCAAGAGGUUAUAGACAAGAAGGCUGAAGCCGUCUUAACUGCUCCAGGAAUUUCAAGGGCUUGUAUGACCUGACGGUGAAACCACCCGGGACAACGGAGUGGGAAUGAUCUGAUUUUCGAACGUUGCUUAGGCAAGUGAUCUCCGCACUCUUUAUUGGACAUGGAUGCGGAAUUGUAUCAUUGACCAGAUUUAGAUGGGAGAUAUUAUAAUAGUGUAUUCAGUAUAGACUUUUGAAACUGAAAAAUUAAUCAGCUUUGUCGUCUCGUGAAAAUCUCUUAAACUCGUUUUUUAAGAAAAGUUCACGUGAUGACUUGUUGAGUAUUCCUUAAAUACCAUGCACACUUGUCGGAAAUAAUGGGUGCAUUUGGUUUUCGUGGAACAAAUUAAACAUUGUUAAUGUGCA